UCAGCCGCAUCGACACACCCUUCCAGGUAACGUCCACAUCCUGGACACGCUGGUCAGCCGCAUCAACACACCCUUCCAGGUAACGUUCACAUCCUGGACACGCUGGUCAGCCGCAUCAACACACCCUUCCAGGUAACGUCCACAUCCUGGACACGCUGGUCAGCCGCAUCAACACACCCUUCCAGGUAACGUCCACAUCCUGGACACGCUGGUCAGCCGCAUCGACACACCCUUCCAGGUAACGUCCACAUCCUGGACACUCUGGUCAGCCGCAUCGACACACCAGGUACGGGAGGGAGUUUGCAGCUGAAGCACCUGCUCAGCACAUAUGUCAACAUCCCUUUUCAGAUCCGGGAGCCUUCGUACUAGCACUCACAAAUACACACAACCGCACACAGUUGCAAAUCAUAUUGAUUACUGUGCAUAUUUCAACCUAGAGUCUCCUAAUUACACUUAGUAAAUAGCCAGGCCUCCUCAACCUGACAUAAAUUAGAUCCUUCAGAAAGUUGUCUGUGAAUCUUGCUGCUAUGCUGUGUGAGUCAUGUUUAAAAUAACUGAGACUUGUUUUGGAGAUAAAUAGUUUCCCCAGAGGCCGUUUCCUAAUAAUUUAAACAAAUAUUUAAAAUGUCAGUAUCAAAGACAGCAGAUUGUUGCCAUGGCAAUGCACAAUAACUAUCUAAUUAGUCGUUGGACUCAUGAUACAAGGCAAGUAAAUAUUAGUAAAUGUAAUGUCUAGUUCAAACGGGGAAUUGCUGGAAAGGCUUCAUUCAUUAACAUCAAACAGAGGCUUGUCAAUUGAAACGUUCAAGUGCUCUCUUCACAGGACUACUCAACUGUGAAAAACGCUCCUGGGCAGAUUUGUACUCUACAGGGUAGAAAACAACACUUCUGAUACCUGCAGCCCAUUUAACAUUGAUGGUUUUGAUAAGGACAACACAGAGUUACGCAUGGAAUAAACAAACGUACAGUCAAUAACACAAAAGAAAAAGUAUAUAUACAUUGUGUGCAAAUGGCGUAAGGAGGUAUGGCAAUAAAUAGGCCAUAGUAGCGAAGUAAUUACAAUUUAUCAAAUUAACACUGGAGUGAUAGAUGUGCAGAUGAGGGUGUGCAAAUAGAAAUGCUGGUGUGCAAAAGAGUAAAAAAGUAAAAAACAAUAUGGGGAUGAGGUAGGUAGAUUGGAUGGGCUAUUUACAUAUGGGCUGUGUACAGCUGCAGCGAUCGGUAAGCUGCUCUGACAGCUGAUGCGUAAAGUUAGUGAGGGAGAUCUAAGUCUCCAGCUUCAGUGAUUUUUGCAAUUUGUUCCAGUCAUUGGCAGCAGAGAACUGGAAGGAAAGGCGGCCAAAGGGGGUGUUGGCUAUGGGGAUGACCAGUGAGAUAUACCUGCUGGAGUGCGUGCUACGGGUAGGUGUUGUUAUGGUGACCAGUGAGCAGAGAUAAAGCAGAGCUUUACAUAGCAAAGACUUAUAGAGGACCUGGAGCCAGUGGGUCUGGCGACGAAUAUGUAGCGAGGGCCAGCCGAUGAGAGCAUUCAGGUCGCAGUGGUGGGUGGUAUAUGAGGCUUUGGUGACAAAACGGAUGGCACUGUGAUAGACUGCAUCCAGUUUGCUGAGUAGAAUGUUGGAGGCUAUUUUGUAAAUGACAGCCAAAGACGAGGAUCGGUAGGAUAGUCAGUUUUUCGAGGGUAUGUUUGGCAGCAUGAGUGAAGGAGGCUUUUUGUGAAAUAGGAAGCCGAUUCUAGAUUUGAUAUUGGAUUGGAGAUGUUUAAUAUGAGUCUGGAAGGAGAGUUUACAGUCUAACCAGACUCCUAGGUAUUUGUAGUUGUCCAUAUAUUCUAAGUCAGAACUGUCCAGAGUAGUGAAGCUAGUCGGGCAGGCGGGCAGCGAUCGGUUGAAAAGCAUGCAUUUAGUUUUACUAGUGUUUAAGAGCAGUUGGAGGCCACGGAAGGAGUGUUGUAUGGCAUUGAAGCUCGUUUGGAGGUUUGUUAACACAGUGUCCAAUGAAUGGCCAGAUGUAUACAGAGUGGUGUUGUCUGCGUAGAGGUGGAUCAGGGAAUCACCCGCAGCAAGAGCGACAUCGUUGAUAUAUACAGAGAAAAGAGUCGGCCCGAGAAUUGAACCCUGUGGUACCCCCAUAGAGACUGUCAGAGGUCCAGACAACAGGCCCUCUGAUUUGACACACGGAACUUUAUCUGAGAAGAAGUUGGUGAACCUGGCGAGGCAGUCAUUUGAGAGGCCAAGGCUAUUGAGUCUGCUGAUAAGAAUGCGGUGAUUGACAGAGUCGAAAGCGUUGGCCAGGUCGACUCACUCUUGGUGAGUCGCCCCAUUCCAAACCCUCAAAAGGACAGACAUUUCCUUACUCUUAUCAUUAUUCAGCUGUCAGCAACUCCGACAGAUAGGCAUACACCUGUUUCCACACAAUCCAACCUAAUCAAGACAUACACCAUGCCUAAAAUAUAACACAAUAAGGACAUAGGGGCAGUAUUAGCUGGUUACAUGCCAUACUAAGCAAGUAUCAUCAAAAGCUGUGACUUCAGGCUGUCCAUGGUCACUCUGCAACAUUUAAACAGGUAUGAUGCCACGCGCCACAGGCAGCCAUUUUGAAAUUCAGCCUUGGUAAUCUCUUACUUGUUAAUCCAGCCUUGUGAUGUAUUCCGGUCCUCUGAGACCUUUGUUUCAUCUUGUGAUGCUUAUCUUCUUGGUGUU